rnacentral:lncRNA from 1 species
GGCGUCGUCUGAUCGGCACCGUUGUGGGUCUCAACACAGUUGGGCGGAGAAUCCCUUGGGAGAAUCUCGGAGGUGAAUGGAGAAUGCAUUCCCAUGGGUCUUUAUGUUUUUGCUUCUAGUUGUUUUUGCCUCCACUGUCUCUCAGGUGACAUGCUUGGUCGCACGUCACUUGGAGGCUUAUACUGAAAUUGGUCUGUCAGUCAGUCGGGCUCUUGAGUAUUCGGCUUCCGACUUGUCUCAUCGCUGGCGAUCGUGUUCGUUGUCGUGGCGAUGAACCAGUGCCGAAAAUCAGUGAUCCAAUGAUUCCCCCGACUGGCACAAGUUGUCUGGAUCCCUUGCUAACUCUUGGACGGAGCAGAAUUCUCUCAGCCCAGUCGUUGUUGUUUUUAGAGUAAUUUUAAAGUGGGAUUUUAUGUAAUUCUUGUACCGAUUAAUGAGCGAGAAGAAGAAAAAAACACAACGGGAUGUGACUAAUGACUAGACCUACUGUUUACACUAAGCUCGAAAAGGUCGAAAUACCCAGUCAUUGGAAUCUGCCACAGGAAUGAAACCUCAAUUACCGGUCAUGAUUUCCGUGGCUCCGUGACCGAAUUUUGUACUUCGCUGGUUUUAGCAACAAAGGCCGGCGACUAGCUUGAGUGCCAAUUCAUCCGUAGCCGGUUCCCUCGACAGGGAUUAAGACAUAUCCCACGUCAUCCUUCACCGCGAGACUAGGCAAAUCUUCACCCUUCACUGUAGGAAUUUUACACAUUUCCAGCUCAUACCCUGGCGAGCACCUUUUUGGAGCAUUGCGGCCGCUGCUCAUCGACAAAUCAUGCUAGGUGGGGAAUUAUCAGAAUAGGGAGAUUAUGUGAGUUAGGUGUGGCGUCUGGCCGCGUUCGUGCCUUUGGAUACCCCACCUUGAGACGUGUUUUCUCAGCAACUGCAUUACCUGUAAUGGCAUAAAAAAGGGAGAGAAGUUUAUGUUUAUUUUUAUUUUUUAUGCCCUUGUUGGUGGGACCCAGUCUAACAAUCGAAGAGUUCUCCCCAAUCUUAUUCUUGCUCUGAUCACGUCAUGUUUUCUUUAGUGUUUUGGUCCCAAAGCAUUUGAGACACUAGGUGUCAACCAUGUUUAUGUGCAGAUCGGCGAUGGAAGGAGGAGGUUCGACCUUGGGAACUGAAAUAUAUAAUCAGCUUCUUCGGCUGCAUGAUGCUCCGCUACCAGGUCAAUUGCCCGGAACCCAUUCCCGACGUCUUCUCAGGGAUUGAAAUUUCCACUGAGACAGAGAAAUUCAAGCUGAUCUUGAAGCAACUUUUAUUCUUUCUCCUCUCAUAAGUUCAAAGGCGAGUUACAACUGUGAGGCAAUGGGUCACCCAUUUUCGCUAACUGAGCCCAUGGACAAAUUGUUCGCACCAUCGUAAACCUCAAUUUGUUCUACAUAUUCUGUCAGACUUUGCGGAGGUAUUCGUGAAUACUUACGUAAAAAAGUGGCUUGUGAAUUAAAUCUGAGUAUAAAACAUCUAUGGCGCCGUCGGUGAUGGUGAGGUAUCAUUUGUUGUAUGAACUGGGAAUGUACUACUCUACUGACUGACCAUUCGCCCCAAGGAUAUGCUUUUCCUGCCUCCCACAAACAUUUUCAAUAAGCAUCUCAGUUUCUUCGUCAAAGCUGCUGCUGCAAAAGCCAUUCUUGACAAAGUUGAAAAAGGUUCUUAGAUCCUGCUGAAAUCGGGGUGAUGGUUGUCGUAUCUGUGGCGAAUUCAAUAACCUUGGUAGACUCGACAGAGUUCUGCGAUUUUCUCUCUCUUGCGCAAUCCAAUUCGAGGAAAUACGUGUAUUUGUCUUAGAGGAGAGUGAUGUGACAGAACUGAUACAGUGUGUCGUGAAUUGCACAAGAGAAAGUCGGACCUUACAGAAAACCUGGGAUUUAACAUCACUUAUGGAAUCCGGAUGUAACAGCUCGUACCUCGAAAAGACAAAACCUAGCAUUUCAUUUUCUAUUGUUAUUUUGUGUAAGAAUGCUGAGUCAAUGUCGGACAUGGAUAUAGUUGAUCCGACUGCCAUGCAUACCAUAAUCAAUGAAAAACGAAAAAGUACACAUAUUUUUUUAAAUAGAGAUGAUAGUUUGACUGUGACCACUAAUUUCAUCUGUGAGGGUCUGUGAACCCGACUGCCUUCUCGACUGACAUUAGCAUCUACAACAUGAUCUCACAAAUCAAUUGGAACUAUAAUUUGCUCUUCCAUGGUACAAUCUUCAAAGUGUGCCCGUAACUCAGGACAGUGUGCCAAUUAGUUCGUUUACAAUUAGAUCGUUGGUUUUCGGAACGACGAGUUUGUACUGCUACAGUGAUAUCUCUUAGUUGCGUUUCCUGGAAUGGUAGAUCCUGACACUUUGGUUCUGUUCAAUUUCGUAAUCUUGCUAAUCCUGACAAGAAUUGCUUCUCUUCUUCCUGGACCCGAAAGCUAAGUGGGCCGUCUUGUAUGACUUUUGUGUGAUGAGUAAGAAAAGCAUUUAGU